ACGGCUCAGUAACACGUGGACAACCUGCCCUUAGGUUGGGUAUAAACCCGGGAAACUGGGUAUAAUACCCGAUAGGUCUCGAUUGCUGGAAUGCAUCGAGAUUUAAAGCUCCGGCGCCUAAGGAUGGGUCUGCGGCCUAUCAGGUAGUAGUGGGUGUAGCGUACCUACUAGCCUACGACGGGUACGGGUUGUGAGAGCAAGAGCCCGGAGAUGGAUUCUGAGACACGAAUCCAGGCCCUACGGGGUGCAGCAGGCGCGAAAACUUUACAAUGCUGGCAACAGCGAUAAGGGAACCUCGAGUGCCAGGUUACAAAUCUGGCUGUCGAGAUGCCUAAAAAGCAUUUCAUAGCAAGGGCCGGGCAAGACCGGUGCCAGCCGCCGCGGUAACACCGGCGGCUCGAGUGGUAACCGUUAUUAUUGGGUCUAAAGGGUCUGUAGCCGGCCGGAUAAGUCUCUUGAGAAAUCUGGCAGCUUAACUGUCAGGCUUUCAGGAGAUACUGUCUGGCUCGAGGCCGGGAGAGGUGAGAGGUACUUCAGGGGUAGGGGUGAAAUCUUGUAAUCCUUGAAGGACCACCAGUGGCGAAGGCGUCUCACCAGAACGGACCUGACGGCAAGGGACGAAAGCUAGGGGCACGAACCGGAUUAGAUACCCGGGUAGUCCUAGCCGUAAACGAUACUCGCUAGGUGUCGGCCACGGUGCGACCGUUGUCGGUGCCGUANGGAAGCCGUGAAGCGAGCCACCUGGGAAGUACGGCCGCAAGGCUGAAACUUAAAGGAAUUGGCGGGGGAGCAC
rnacentral:rRNA from 1 species